AAAAAAGCUGGUGUUUUUUGUCUUGUGAAUGUACCUCGUUAAAUUCAGGGAGAUAAUGCCCUUGAUUUUUAUGUGAACCUUCAUUCCCUUUUUAUGAUUAUAGGUUUCGUAAAUGGAAUAUUG